rnacentral:rRNA from 1 species
CACAUGCAGUCGAGCGGCAGCGGAAGUAGCUUGCUACUUUGCCGGCGAGCGGCGGACGGGUGAGUAAUGUCUGGGAAACUGCCCGAUGGAGGGGGAUAACUACUGGAAACGGUAGCUAAUACCGCAUAACGUCUUCGGACCAAAGUGGGGGACCUUCGGGCCUCACACCAUCGGAUGUGCCCAGAUGGGAUUAGCUAGUAGGUGAGGUAAUGGCUCACCUAGGCGACGAUCCCUAGCUGGUCUGAGAGGAUGACCAGCCACACUGGAACUGAGACACGGUCCAGACUCCUACGGGAGGCAGCAGUGGGGAAUAUUGCACAAUGGGCGCAAGCCUGAUGCAGCCAUGCCGCGUGUGUGAAGAAGGCCUUCGGGUUGUAAAGCACUUUCAGCGAGGAGGAAGGCUGUCGUGUUAAUAGCGCGAUUGAUUGACGUUACUCGCAGAAGAAGCACCGGCUAACUCCGUGCCAGCAGCCGCGGUAAUACGGAGGGUGCAAGCGUUAAUCGGAAUUACUGGGCGUAAAGCGCACGCAGGCGGUUUGUUAAGUCAGAUGUGAAAUCCCCGCGCUUAACGUGGGAACUGCAUUUGAAACUGGCAAGCUAGAGUCUUGUAUAGGGGGGGUAUAAUUCCCG